rnacentral:rRNA from 1 species
GACGAACGCUGGCGGCGUGCCUAAUACAUGCAAGUAGGACGCAGUUGCGAACGGGUGAGUAACGCGUAGGUAACUACCUAUUAGAGGGGGAUAACUAUUGGAAACGAUAGCUAAUACCGCAUACUAGUAGAUGGACCUGCGUUGUAUUAGCUAGUAGGUAGGGUAAUGGCCUACCUAGGCAACGCUACAUAGCCGAACUUGAAGGGUGAUCGGGCAACACGGGAAUGGAAAACGGGCCAGACUCCUGAGGGGAGGAGCAGUAGGGAAACUUCGGGAAUGGGGGGAAACCCGGACGAGCAAAGGCGCGGGAGUGAAGAAGGUUUUCGGGUCGGUAAGCUCUGUUGUUAAGGGAGCGGUACUUAACCAGAAAGGGACGGCUAACUACGUGCCAGCAGCCGCGGUAAUAC